CCUACGGGAGGCAGCAGUGGGGAAUAUUGCACAAUGGGGGAAACCCUGAUGCAGCGACGCCGCGUGAGUGAAGAAGUAUCUCGGUAUGUAAAGCUCUAUCAGCAGGGAAGAAAAAAGACGGUACCUUACUAAGAAGCCCCUGCGAACUACGUGCCAGCAGCCGCGGUUAUACGUAGGGGGCAAGCGUUAUCCGGAGUUACUGGGUGGAAAGGGAGCUUAUGGGGAGGGGUAAGUCGGAAGGGAAAGGGAGGGGCUGAACCCCUGAACGGCUUUGGAAACUGGCAGGCUAGAGUGCUGGAGAGGUAAGGGGAAUUCGUAGGGUAGCGGGGAAAUGCGUAGAUAUUAGGAGGAACCCCAGUGGCGAAGGCGGCUUACUGGACAGUAACUGACGUUGAGGCUCGAAAGCGUGGGGAGCAAACAGGAUUAGAUACCCUUGUAGUC
rnacentral:rRNA from 1 species